rnacentral:rRNA from 1 species
UACGUAGGGGGCUAGCGUUGUCCGGAUUUAUUGGGCGUAAAGAGCGUGUAGGCGGCCAGGUAGGUCUGCUGUGAAAACUCGAGGCUCAACCUCGAGACGUCGGCGGAAACCAUCUGGCUAGAGUCCGGAAGAGGAGAGUGGAAUUCCCGGUGUAGCGGUGAAAUGCGCAGAUAUCGGGAGGAACACCAAUGGCGAAGGCAGCUCGCUGGGACGUGACUGACGCUGAGACGCGAAAGCGUGGGGAGCAAACAGG